rnacentral:sRNA from 1 species
GCCCCCGCCAGCGCCGCUCUCCCUCAGGAACAGACUGUUGCCGUGGCUGCUCAUCGCGUCUCUGCGGGGGACAGAGGAGACCAGAUCUGGAACCUGAACUCCUGUGCACAGGCCCACGCAUGGAUAUACAUAAUUAAAAAGGUCAGAGGACAACUUUUAGAAGUCCAUUCUCUUCCUUCACCAUGUCAAGAUCUGUAGCUUGCAUAUGAAUGAGAUCACACAGCACUUGAAUUUCUGUACCUACAUUCAAAUUAACAUGAGUCGUUUGAGAAGAUGCUACGAUGAAAACUAAUGUUUGUAUGCUUCCAGAAAUGUAAUAAAUGUUUUUAAACAACA